rnacentral:rRNA from 1 species
UACAGAGGUCCCGAGCGUUGUUCGGAUUCACUGGGCGUAAAGGGUGCGCAGGUGGGUUGGCAAGUUCGAUGUGAAAGCCCCGGGCUUAACCCGGGAAUGGCAUUGGAAACUGCUGAUCUGAAGGAUCGGAGGGGGGACUGGAAUUCUUGGUGUAGCAGUGAAAUGCGUAGAUAUCAAGAGGAACACCAGUGGCGAAGGCGAGUCCCUGGACGAUACCUGACACUGAGGCACGAAAGCCAAGGGAGCAAACAGG